rnacentral:rRNA from 2 species
GCGUAAGCGCGCGCAGGCGGUUUCUUAAGUCUGAUGUGAAAGCCCACGGCUCAACCGUGGAGGGUCAUUGGAAACUGGGGAACUUGAGUGCAGAAGAGAAAAGCGGAAUUCCACGUGUAGCGGUGAAAUGCGUAGAGAUGUGGAGGAACACCAGUGGCGAAGGCGGCUUUUUGGUCUGUAACUGACGCUGAGGCGCGAAAGCGUGGGGAGCAAACAGGAUUAGAUACCCUGGUAGUCCACGCCGUAAACGAUGAGUGCUAAGUGUUAGAGGGUUUCCGCCCUUUAGUGCUGCAGCUAACGCAUUAAGCACUCCGCCUGGGGAGUACGGUCGCAAGACUGAAACUCCAAGGAAUUGACGGGGGCCCGCACCAGCGGUGGAGCAUGUGGUU